GAUGUACUCCCUCCGUCCAAAAAUACUUGUCAUCAAAAUGGAUAAAAAAAGAUGUAUCUAAAACUAAAAUACGUCUAGAUGCAUCCCCUUUUAUUAAUUUUGAUGACAAGUAUUUCCAGACGGAGGGAGUAGCAC
rnacentral:pre_miRNA from 1 species